AGUCGAGGGGUAACAUUGUAGCUUGCUACAGAUGACGACCGGCGCACGGGUGCGUAACGCGUAUAGAAUCUACCUUAUACUGAGGGAUAGCCUUUGGAAACGAAGAUUAACACCUCAUAGUAUUACAAAAUCGCAUGAUUUAGUAAUUAAAGGUUACGGUAUAAGAUGACUAUGCGUCCUAUUAGCUAGAUGGAGUGGUAACGGCACCCCAUGGCAACGAUAGGUAGGGGCCCUGAGAGGGGGAUCCCCCACACUGGUACUGAGACACGGACCAGACUCCUACGGGAGGCAGCAGUGAGGAAUAUUGGACAAUGGAGGCAACUCUGAUCCAGCCAUGCCGCGUGCAGGAAGACUGCCCUAUGGGUUGUAAACUGCUUUUAUACAGGAAGAAACACUGCUACGUGUAGCAGCUUGACGGUACUGUAAGAAUAAGGAUCGGCUAACUCCGUGCCAGCAGCCGCGGUAAUACGGAGGAUCCAAGCGUUAUCCGGAAUCAUUGGGUUUAAAGGGUCCGUAGGUUGAUAAUUAAGUCAGAGGUGAAAUCUUGCAGCUCAACUGUAAAAUUGCCUUUGAUACUGGUUAUCUUGAGUUAUUAUGAAGUAGUUAGAAUAUGUAGUGUAGCGGUGAAAUGCAUAGAUAUUACAUAGAAUACCAAUUGCGAAGGCAGAUUACUAAUAAUCAACUGACACUGAUGGACGAAAGCGUGGGGAGCGAACAGGAUUAGAUACCCUGGUAGUCCACGCCGUAAACGAUGGAUACUAGCUGUUCGGACUUCGGUCUGAGUGGCUAAGCGAAAGUGAUAAGUAUCCCACCUGGGGAGUACGUUCGCAAGAAUGAAACUCAAAGGAAUUGACGGGGGCCCGCACAAGCGGUGGAGCAUGUGGUUUAAUUCGAUGAUAC
rnacentral:rRNA from 1 species